rnacentral:rRNA from 1 species
UACAGAGGUCCCGAGCGUUGUUCGGAUUCACUGGGCGUAAAGAGCGCGCAGGCGGCUGGUCAAGUCCGAUGUGAAAUCUCCCGGCUUAACUGGGAAACUGCAUCGGAAACUGAUCGGCUUGAAGGUGGGAGAGGGUAGUGGAAUUCCCGGUGUAGUGGUGAAAUGCGUAGAUAUCGAGAGGAACACCUGCGGCGAAGGCGGGUUGCUGGGCUGACACUGACGCUGAUGCGCGAAAGCUAGGGGAGCGAACGGG